CCUACGGGUGGCUGCAGUAGGGAAUAUUGCACAAUGGGGGAAACCCUGAAGCAGCGACGCCGCGUGAGUGAAGAAGUUAUUAGGUUUGUAAAGCCCUAUCAGCAGAGAAGAAUCUGACGGUAUCUGAGUAAUAAGCCCCGGCUAACUACGUGCCAGCAGCCGCGGUAAUACGGAGGGUGCAAGCGUUAGUCGGAUUUACUGGGCGUAAAGGGUGCGUAGACGGGGUAGUAAGUCUGAAGUGAAAGCCCGUGGCUUAACCGCGGAACUGCUUUUGAAACUGUUUCGCUGGAGUGCCGGAGAGGUAAGUGGAAUUCUUGGUGUAGCGGUGAAAUGCGUAGAGAUUAGGAGGAAUACCAGUGGCGAAGGCGGCUUACUGGACGGUAACUGACGUUGAGGCACGAAAGCGUGGGGAGCAAACAGGAUUAGAUACCCGAGUAGUC
rnacentral:rRNA from 1 species